AUCAGACACUGAAUCUGCUGGGGACUUAAUCUUGGAGUUUCCAGUCUCCAGAAUUAUAAGAAAUAAAUUUCUAUUAUUUAUAAAUUAACCAAUCUAAGGUUUUCAGGUGCUGGUUCCAUGGCUCUUCCUGAGCCGAAAAUAAGGAAACUCCAUAGACCUUGUCCACUGGAACUCGUUCCCAUCUACCCUCCACUCUAUCCAGGGUGAUGGAUCUCUGCAGUAAGUGGAAGAGUUCUUCAUGGCCCCCAAGGUUAUAUCCAUCUAGAACUUCAGCACGUAAUUUCAUCUGGAAAUAGUGCCUUUGCGGAUAUAAGUUAGGUAAAACUGAAGAUGAGAUCAUACUGGAUUAGGAUGGGAUCUAAAUCCAAUGAAAAUGUCUUCAUAAAAAACAGGAAAGAACCCAUAGAAACACAAGGAAGAAGGUCAUGUGAAGAUGGAGGCAGAGAUUGGAGGGAUGCAGCCACCGGCCCAGGAAUGCCAGCAGCCACCCAGAAGCUGGAAGGAAAUGAGGGAUUCUCUCCUAGAACCUUUAGAGAGAACAUGGUCCUGUGAACAGCUUGAUUUUGGACUUGCCCAUAGCUUGUAUACUCUUACUUUGGAUACAAUUUUAUCCAAACUUGGCUAAACAGUUUCUCAGCCUAUGGAAAAUUUAAAAUGGAGAAGAUUCAACUCGAUUCUUACAGAUUCAAAGCAAGAAAAUGAUGGGAACAUAGGAGGAGACCAAGAAAGCCUAUAAAAAGCAAAAAUAUGAAGUGAACAUUGUGGUAGCUUUAAGAUGUUUAGUGUAGCUGCAGGCACCCUAUACACAUGAAAACCCCCAAGGGGAAUCCCCAUAUCACAGUGUAGUGUGAUAUUUGACAUUCGUGAUCAUCUAGAGAUGUACAGAAAAGGUGAAUCUGUGUUCUGUAUAUUCUGCCUAAGGCAAAGAAAUGUUUAGCUCUCUUUAAAAUAGUUCCAUAAUUUUUUCUAAAAAGCUUUGCUUGAAAACUGUAAGCUUCCCAUAUCUGGAGCAUUUCACUUUAAAUAUUUGGAUAAAUAUGUUAUCUUCUUACUUGGACAUUUCAUGUGUUUAGGGAUUGUCUUCUAAAUUCUUCCUAAUUCAUAUAGCUGCUAACACUUCCCGCAGAGCUAAACCAUUACAGAUAUGAAAUAAAGACCUAUUGAUUUGACUUA
rnacentral:lncRNA from 1 species